rnacentral:rRNA from 1 species
AUUGAACGCUGGCGGCAGGCCUAACACAUGCAAGUCGAGCGGAUGAGUGGAGCUUGCUCCAUGAUUCAGCGGCGGACGGGUGAGUAAUGCCUAGGAAUCUGCCUAGUAGUGGGGGACAACGUUUCGAAAGGAACGCUAAUACCGCAUACGUCCUACGGGAGAAAGUGGGGGAUCUUCGGACCUCCCGCUAUCCGAUGAUCCUAGGUCGGAUUAGCUAGUUGGUGAGGUAAAGGCUCACCAAGGCGACGAUCCGUAACUGGUCUGAGAGGAUGAUCAGUCACACUGGAAAUGAGACACGGUCCAGACUCCUACGGGAGGCAGCAGUGGGGAAUAUUGGACAAUGGGCGAAAGCCUGAUCCAGCCAUGCCGCGUGUGUGAAGAAGGUCUUCGGAUUGUAAAGCACUUUAAGUUGGGAGGAAGGGCAGUAAGUUAAUACCUUGCUGUUUUGACGUUACCAACAGAAUAAGCACCGGCUAACUUCGUGCCAGCCGCCGCCGUAAGAC